CAGGGAAUCUUCGGCAAUGGGGGGAACCCUGACCGAGCAACGCCGCGCGAGUGAAGAAGGUUUUCGGAUCGUAAAGCUCUGUUGUUAAGGAAGAACGAGUGUGAGAAUGGAAAGUUCAUACUGUGACGGUACUUAACCAGAAAGGGACGGCUAACUACGUGCCAGCAGCCGCGGUAAUACGUAGGUCCCGAGCGUUGUCCGGAUUUAUUGGGCGUAAAGCGAGCGCAGGCGGUUAGAUAAGUCUGAAGUUAAAGGCAGUGGCUCAACCAUUGUAGGCUUUGGAAACUGUUUAACUUGAGUGCAGGAGGGGAGAGUGGAAUUCCAUGUGUAGCGGUAAAAUGCGUAGAUAUAUGGAGGAACACCGGUGGCGAGAGCGGCUCUCUGGUCUGUAACUGACGCUGAGGCUCGAAAGCGUGGGGAGCGAACAGG
rnacentral:rRNA from 1 species